CCUACGGGAGGCAGCAGUGGGGAAUAUUGCACAAUGGGGGAAACCCUGAUGCAGCAACGCCGCGUGAGUGAAGAAGGUUUUCGGAUUGUUAAGCCCUGUUAGUAGGGAAGAGGAAGUACGGUACCUGCAGAGGAAGCCACGGCUAAAUACGUGCCAGCAGCCGCGGUAAGACGUAGGUGUCACGCGUUGUUGGGAAUUACUGGGCUUAAAGGAUUCGUAGGGGGUUAAACAAGUUAUAUGGUAAAUAUAUAGGCUUAAACUGUAGAAAGCAGAUAAAACUGUUUAACUAGAGUGCAGGAGAGGUAAGUGGAAUUCGUAGUGUAGCGGUGAAAUGCGUAGAGAUUAGGAAGAACACCAGUGGCGAAGGCGACUUACUGGACUGUAACUGACGCUGAGGCAUGAGAGCAUGGGGAGCAAACAGGAUUAGAUACCCUUGUAGUC
rnacentral:rRNA from 1 species